rnacentral:rRNA from 1 species
AUUGAACGCUGGCGGCAGGCCUAACACAUGCAAGUCGAGCGGAGCGGCGGACGGGUGAGUAAUGCCUAGGAAUCUGCCUGGUAGUGGGGGAUAACGUACGGAAACGGGCGCUAAUACCGCAUACUAUCAGAUGAGCCUAGGUCGGAUUCUCUAGUUGGUGGGGUAAAGGCCUACCAAGGCGACGAUCCGUAACUGGUCUGAGAGGAUGAUCAGUCACACUGGAACUGAGACACGGUCCAGACUCCUACGGGACGUAGCAGUGGGGAAUAUGAGACAAUGGGCGAAAACCUAAUCCAGCCAUGCCGCGUUGGUGAAGAAGGUCUUCGGAGUAUAAAGCACUUUAAGUUGGUAGGCGUUACCAACAGAAUAAGCACCGGCUAACUUCGUGCCAGCAGCCGCGGUAAUUC